rnacentral:rRNA from 3 species
GUAAGCGCAAGUCAUCAGCUUGCGUUGAUUACGUCCCUGCCCUUUGUACACACCGCCCGUCGCUACUACCGAUUGAAUGGCUCAGUGAGGCGUCCGGACUGGCCCAGGGAGGUGGGCAACUACCCCCCAGGGCCGGAAAGCUCUCCAAACUCGGUCAUUUAGAGGAAGUAAAAGUCGUAACAAGGUCUCCGUUGGUGAACCAGCGGAGGGAUCAUUA